rnacentral:ncRNA from 1 species
AGACUUAAAUGGUACAACUGGAGAAAUUCAGUGUCACAAAGCUAUAGGGGCUAAGGUCUUGUACUACGCCAGCCAGCUGCCAUU